GAGAGGCCGCAGCUCCUGACUUCCUCUAGUGCUGGGUGUCCUGCUCUCUGCCCAUCCACCUGCAGAGUCCUCUUGCCUGUGCCAUGGAGCCUGUCUGACUCAGUCCACAAUGCCAGGGAAGGUUCAGCAGCACAGGGGCCUAUGAGUCUCAGGAGGAAACUCUUCUCAGAGAGCAGGGGCAUAAGAGGGAAGAAGCCAUGGUUACAGAGCGGAGACACAAUGGCCUCAGUCCAAAGCUGCAUUUAAGUUUGGAUGCCCUUGGUGUGCUUUCUGGUCUGUAAAACUGAGCACAAGGAAACAGAUGACUAUUAAAGACAGCGAUAGCUGGGAAAUGCAUCUGGACUUAGCAGAAGCAGAGUUCCACGAGAGCACGUGGAGUGAGUCCAAGGCCCAGGAUCGUCACUGGCAUUUCUGCCGCAUUCGAUUGGGCAAAGAAGUCACAAGGCCAGCCCAGAUGCAAGGGAUGGAGGAAUAGACCUCAUCUCUUGGUGGUGGAAGGUGGAAGAAGCUGUGAAGUCAUAUUUCAAGGGAGAAGACACAGGAAGAGUAAAUAAUUAUGGCCACUUUUUCUGCAGUCAGUCUACCCCCAUGGCCUUUAUGAAGGUCAGAGGACAUUCAAAAGCAGUUUCUGACCUUGGUUUCUUUUUC
rnacentral:lncRNA from 1 species